rnacentral:rRNA from 1 species
UACGUAGGGUCCGAGCGUUGUCCGGAGUUACUGGGCGUAAAGCGCGCGCAGGCGGCUGUGCUGGCCCGGCGUGAAAGCCCCCGGCUCAACCGGGGAGAGUCGUCGGGGACCGCACCGCUUGAGGGCGGUAGGGGCUGGUGGAAUGCCUGGUGUAGUGGUGAAAUGCGUAGAGAUCAGGCAGAACACCUGGGGCGAAGGCGGCCAGCUGGGCCGUCCCUGACGCUGAGGCGCGAAGGCGUGGGGAGCGAACGGG